rnacentral:rRNA from 1 species
UACGGGGGGAGCAAGCGUUGUUCGGAUUUACUGGGCGUAAAGGGCGCGUAGGCGGUCAGCACAAGUCAGUUGUGAAAUCUCCGGGCUUAACUCGGAAAGGUCAACUGAUACUGUGCGACUAGAGUGCGGAAGGGGCAACUGGAAUUCGUCGGUGUAGCGGUGAAAUGCGUAGAUAUCGAGAGGAACACCUGCGGCGAAGGCGGGUUGCUGGGCCGACACUGACGCUGAUGCGCGAAAGCCAGGGGAGCGAACGGG